UACAGAGGUCUCAAACGUUGUUCGGAUUCAUUGGGCGUAAAGGGUGCGUAGGCGGCGCGGUAAGUCGGGUGUGAAAUCUCGGAGCUUAACUCCGAAACUGCAUUCGAUACUGCCGUGCUUGAGGACUGGAGAGGAGACUGGAAUUUACGGUGUAGCGGUGAAAUGCGUAGAGAUCAUGAGGAAGACCAGUGGCGAAGGCGGGUCUCUGGACAGUUCCUGACACUGAGACACGAAGGCCAGGGGAGCAAACGGG
rnacentral:rRNA from 1 species